ensembl:misc_RNA 7SK 7SK RNA
AAAGCUGAGGGCGAUCUGGCUGCGACAUCUGUCACCCCACUGAUCGCCAGGGUUGAUUCGGCUGAUCUGUCUGGCUAGACGGGUGUCCCCUUCCUCCCUCACUGCUCCAUGUGCGUCCCUCCCGAAGCUGUAGGCUCGAUCGAAGAGGACGGCCUUCCCCGAAUAGAGACGGACAGGUGUCCGGUGGAGGGUGUACAAGUAACUGCGCUCCCCUGCUAGAACCUCCAGACAAGCUCUUUCUACAACUCUUUUUUUCCGCUAAGCUCCCAGGACUGUGUUAGCUAUAUUAUUUCCCACAUAUUAGCAAA